AGAAAAUUUGUGGAUUUCAAGUAAUCAUGCAAUCAAAGGUGGUGGAUCCUUCGAUAAAGGCAAAGAAAUUGUACCCGAGGAUCGAUAGUCAGAGUACUCUAAAAAUUUGACUCUUGAAAUAGCUCAAAAUAGGCUGUAGAUAGCUGAUUUCACCGAGGCUAC